ensembl:lncRNA
CAGCCUCCGCCGAGGCCGGGGGCGCGGGGCAGCUGGGGCCACCGUGCCGCGCGAGGGGGAGGCGGAUCUGUUCCCUUCACGUCUUGGCCAGAUCCCCGAUCCCCGAUCGCCUUGGGCUGGGGACCGGCGGGAUUCUGGAGAGCAUCAGACGGGGUCCCAACCCCGCGACGGAGCAGAGCGGAAGACCGAGAGAAACACGGGAGGCGCUGGGGACCCGGACACCUGCCCUCCCCGCGUCUCUCCACCCUCUACUCCAUCCCUGGACAGCAACCGGAGACCGGGUCUCAAGGGGGAUCACCAAGAGACAGAACUGACCUGUCUGUUGGUGUCUGGAAAGCGCCACGACAGUAUCUUCCAGCCUCCGUGAAGUUUGCAAAAAUAAAUCAGUUUUCAGACCCGUGGUAGAGCAAAACAAGCAUGGUAAACAGAAUUUCGAGCUGUCCCAACUCAUGAAGCUAUGAAUACAAAACACGGAGCAGGAUGUGGCACAUGCAUAAAAAUGAGAUAUAAACAUUCAAGAAGUGCCAUGAUCCUCAUUUUACAGAUGAGGAAACAAGCCCAGGGAGAUUAAGUGAGUCAACUGAGAGCACAGUCAACGGCAGGCCUGGGACCUGAACUCCAUUCUUCUGAGUGUUACACAAUAUCUAAAUGACUCCUCCAGCCCAGAGAAGCAGCUUCUAACACACUAUGUGGAGUUCAAUUCCUGGCUCUUCCACUCAUCAGCCAAGUGAACUUGCACAGUUAGGGCUCAGGGGGCUGUAAAGUGGGGAUAAUAAUCGUUCCUGUUUUAUAACUUUUUUCUGAAGAGUAAACAAUAGGGCUCAGCGACUGGUCCGUACCAGUCAUCGCUCAAGGUGUGCUCUGAGUAUCAGCCACCUUAAAAAGCACCUCUCUCUUCUUGGCCUCUUUUUCUCCUUUUGUUUCUCAUUUUCAAGUUCCUUUCCCCCACUCCUGGGUUCUUUUGGAAGAUCCUGAUUCUGCCCAGUUGUAAACACGUGACCCAUCUGUCACUCCUGCGUUCAGUCACUUCUAACAUGUCUUUGAUGCAGUUAAUCCCGGAGGAAGGAAGGAGUGGCCAGUGCUUGAGGAGGAGUCUCCCAGCUCCAGCAAAGAGAACCCACCAUUGUUUCAAGCUCUGCCUUGGACUUGAGAGGAUCUGACCUCAAGUCUCCAGUUCUGUCAUGGAUCAGCUGUGCCCUUUCCAAGUACAAGCUCCUGUGGUCAGGUUUCCUCACCUAUAAAAUGGGGACAUCAAGGUCCUGUGGUUUUCCUUGUGUAUGUGCUUCAUUGCUCAGUCGUGCCCUAGUCUUUGCAACCCCCUGCUCUGUAGCCCGGAGAAGGCAAUGGCACCCCACUCCAGUACUCUUGCCUGGAAAAUCCCAUGGAUGGAGGAGCCUGGAAGGCUGCAGUCCAUGGGGUCACUAAGAGUUGGGCACCACUGAGCGACUUCACUUUCACUUUUCACUUUCAUGCAUUGGAGAAGGCAAUGGCAACCCACUCCAGUGUUCUUGCCUGAAGAAUCCCAGGGACGGGGGAGCCUAGUGGGCUGCCGUCUAUGGGGUCACACAGAGUCGGACAAGACUGAAGUGACUUAGCAGUAGCAGCAGCUCUGUAGCCCACCAGACUCCUCUGUUCAUGGAAUUUUCCAAGCAAGACUACUGGAGUGGGUUGCCAUUCUCCUUUCCAGGGGAUCUUCCCAAUCCAUGGAUGGAGCCCACGUCUCUUUCAUCUCCUGCACUGGCAGGUGGAUUCUUUACCAUUGAGCUACCAGAAGUUCAAUAAAAAUGGAAAUAAAAAUGGCCUGUGUGUGUGU